rnacentral:rRNA from 1 species
GACGAACGCUGGCGGCGUGGUUAACACAUGCAAGUCGAACGAAGUGGCGAACGGGUGAGCAAUUAGUGGGUACCCAGCCCUCCUUUUUGGGAUAAGCCUUGGAAACGGGGUAUAAUACCGAAUACAGGGGGAUGGGCUCGCGGCCUAUCAGCUUGUUGGGGGGGGGAUGGCCUACCAAGGCGGUGACGGGUAGCCGGCCUGAGCGGGUGAACGGCCACAUGGGGACGGAGAGACGGCACAGACUCCAACGGGAGGGAGGAGUGGGGGAUAGUGCAUAAUGGGCGAAAGCCUGGUGCAGCGACGCGGAGUGGGGGAUGAAGGCUUUGGGGUUGUAAACCUCUUUCGCUAGCGAACGGGUAGGUGGAGAGGAAGCGCCGGCUAAUGACGUGCCAGCAGCCGCGGUAAUUC